rnacentral:rRNA from 1 species
UACGUAGGGUGCAAGCGUGUCCGGAAUUAUUGGGCGUAAAGAGCUCGUAGGCGGUUUGUCGCGUCUGCUGUGAAAACCCGAGGCUCAACCUCGGGCCUGCAGUGGGUACGGGCAGACUAGAGUGCGGUAGGGGAGAUUGGAAUUCCUGGUGUAGCGGUGGAAUGCGCAGAUAUCAGGAGGAACACCAAUGGCGAAGGCAGAUCUCUGGGCCGUAACUGACGCUGAGGAGCGAAAGCAUGGGGGAGCGAACAGG